GAGGUCAUCAGCGAUGAGCACGGCAUUGAUCCUACAGGCAGCUACCACGGGGACAGUGACCUGCAGCUGGAGAGGAUCAACGUCUACUACAAUGAAGCUGCUGGUGGUAACAAGUACGUGCCUCGUGCCAUCCUGGUGGACCUGGAGCCCGGCACGAUGGACUCUGUGCGCUCUGGCCCCUUUGGACAGAUCUUCAGGCCCGACAACUUUGUCUUUGGUCAGAGCGGGGCUGGCAACAACUGGGCCAAGGGGCACUACACGGAGGGUGCUGAGCUGGUGGACUCGGUCCUGGACGUGGUGAGGAAGGAGUCAGAGAGCUGCGACUGCCUGCAGGGCUUCCAGCUGACCCACUCGCUGGGCGGCGGCACGGGCUCUGGGAUGGGCACCCUCCUCAUCAGCAAGAUCCGGGAGGAGUACCCCGACCGCAUCAUGAACACCUUCAGCGUCAUGCCCUCCCCCAAGGUGUCGGACACGGUGGUGGAGCCCUACAACGCCACCCUCUCUGUGCACCAGCUGGUGGAGAACACGGACGAGACCUACUGCAUCGACAACGAGGCCCUGUAUGACAUUUGCUUCCGCACCCUGAAGCUGACCACCCCCACGUACGGGGACCUCAACCACCUGGUGUCGGCCACCAUGAGCGGCGUGACCACCUGCCUGCGCUUCCCCGGGCAGCUGAACGCCGACCUGCGCAAGCUGGCGGUCAACAUGGUGCCUUUCCCCCGGCUGCACUUCUUCAUGCCGGGCUUCGCCCCGCUCACCAGCCGCGGCAGCCAGCAGUACCGCGCCCUGACGGUGCCCGAGCUGACGCAGCAGAUGUUCGACUUGGAUCCCCAACAACGUGAAGACGGCCGUCUGCGACAUCCCCCCGCGCGGCCUCAAGAUGUCGGCCACCUUCAUCGGCAACAGCACGGCCAUCCAGGAGCUCUUCAAGAGGAUCUCGGAGCAGUUCACGGCCAUGUUCCGGCGCAAGGCUUUCCUGCACUGGUACACGGGCGAGGGCAUGGACGAGAUGGAGUUCACCGAGGCCGAGAGCAACAUGAACGACCUGGUCUCCGAGUACCAGCAAUACCAGGACGCCACUGCUGACGAGCAGGGGGAGUUUGAAGAGGAAGGAGAGGAGGAUGAGGCGUAAAGUUGAAUUGAGUAGGAGUUAAGUAUAGUCUGAGCAGGCAAGUGUUCAUUGAGAGGAGGAAUCUGUGCAGUUGUGCUGAAGCAUGCAUUUUUUCAUUUGGUGCUCUCCACUGUUGCUUCUGUCAGCAGUUUUGUAUCCUUGACUGUCCAAUGUAACAGUAGUUGCAAAAAUACUUCAGAGUCUUCUGUUGAAAUGGGUAACUUCUCAAACAUAAAGCUUUUUGUGUCUUAAA